rnacentral:tRNA from 1 species
GCCUGGCGGAGCGGCCGGAGACCGGCCGCCCCUGACAAGGGCGGAAUUCCGGGCUCGGGCCCUUUCGUGCCGGGUCCCGGGCG